GAUGAAGAACGUAGCGAAAUGCGAUAAGUAAUGUGAAUUGCAGAAUUCAGUGAAUCAUCGAAUCUUUGAACGCACCUUGCGCUCUUUGGUAUUCCGAAGAGCAUGCCUGUUUGAGUGUCAUGAAAAUAUCAACCUUGACUUGGGUUUUGUGCUCUAGUCUCGGCUAGGAAUUGGGUGCUUGCCGCUUUUACGAGCGGCUCACCUUAAAUGUAUUAGCUGGAUCUGUCUUUGAGACUUGGUUUGACUUGGCGUAAUAAGUAUUUCGCUAAGGACAUUCUUCGGAGUGGCCUCGUUUCUAGGACGCUUGUCCGCUUUCCAAUACAAGUUCCACCUCGUGGACAUGACUUUUUAUUAUCUGGCCUCAAAUCAGGUAGGACUACCCGCUGAACUUAAGCAUAUCAAUAAGCGGAGGA
rnacentral:misc_RNA from 1 species